USKWCCYUGUGUAUSAUGGGUUAUUAAAUAUAAAUAUAAAUAUAUAAACCCGAAAGCAAAUGAGCUAAAAUUAUUCAAUAAAGAAUAGUAAUUUAAAAUGUUGCAAAAUUUUAAAAAGAAAUAAUUUUAGAGAUGAAAUGUCUACGCAUUUGCUGAUAUCUGGAUAAUAAACAAUGUAUAUAGUACAAUAUAAAAAAUAGUAAUAAUUUUGGGCUAAGCUAAAAUUAAAAAGAUUUAAAUUUAAAUAAUAUGACUUAUUUUUUGGGCUUAACACUAGUCUUAAAAAAUCACUGUAACAAGAAAAUAAAUAAAAAAUAAAUAAUUAUAUAGAAAAUAAUCUAAAUAAAAGAAAUAAACCCUUAUUUUUUAAUAAAAUGAUAACAUAAGUAUAGUAAUAAAAACAAACAUUUUUUUUUAAACGAAAAUAUAAGAAGGAACUCGGCAAAAAUAAGCAACGACUGUUUAACAAAAACAAAGCUUCUUGAAUUAAUAAGAAGUGACGCCUGCCCAGUGUGACUAUAAACGGCCGCGAAAGUGCUAAGGUAGCGAAAUAAUUUGUCUUUUCAUUGAAGACCAGUAUGAAUGGCAUAACGAAGCUUAACUGUCUCCUUAUAUAAAAUAAAAAUUGGUUUAAAAGUGAAAAAACUUUUAUUUCUAUGAUGGACGAGAAGACCCUAUAGAGUUUCAGUGCAAUACUAAUUAACCCAAAUUAAUAGUAUACACUUUUAUUGGGGCAAUAAAAGAACAAAAAAAAUCUUAAUAUUCAUAUAUACCCUCAAAGAGAACAAAUUUAACUACCUUAGGGAUAACAGCGUAAUUUUACCAAAGAGCUCUAAUCGACGGUAAAGAUUACGACCUCGAUGUUGGA
rnacentral:rRNA from 1 species